rnacentral:lncRNA from 1 species
AAGAGCCAACUACUUCUCUCUCUCUCUCUCUCUCCCUCUCUCCCUCCCUCUCUCUCACAAACAUCUUCCGAUUGUGUUUGUGGGUUGAUUUGGUUAGAUGGGGCAGCAGCAACAGAGAUUAUUAGAUGCUCCACUUCUGGGGAAUGGUGGGAAUCCCAUUAGAACAGAAUGGAGGAGAGCUCUGUGGUUCCUCCCUGCACUCUUGGCCGUAAUAUGUAUGUAUGUUUUUUUCUUUCAAUUUUAAUCAAAUUGUCCUUUUCUUGGUAGAGUUUGAAUGGUGGUUCUUGAAGUCAAACAGAGUGAAAAUACCAUGAUGAUUGAUUUUAUGAUUUGGGUUCUUGAUAUCUCAUAAUAUUGUUUACACUUCAUGUGUAUAUAUAUGAUGAUGUAUCAACUACUCUGUAUAUAUCAAAUUUAAGCCUUAGAUCAAAGCCUUCCCAAUAGGUUAAGCAUCACAUAUUUUGCUCUCAAUUCCAAGUUUAGAUUGUGAAUUUAUGAAGCAUGUUAAGAAAAAUUAAAAUUUAACCAUUAAAGGAGCUUUGCAUGAUUCUGGUUUUUUUCCCUAAUGUUAGGCAUAUUGUUUUUCAUCAAUUUUUCAGUUGCCGGCCUCACAUUAACAGGACACUUGGAGUUUGGGGUGGUUAGAGGGGAGAGAAAGUAUAUCAAUAAUGAGAGGAUACAAUAUGAAAAUGGUGAAGUUGUUGAGUCAGAGCAAGCAGUUGUUGCUGCUGAUGAUGCUCGUUGCUCUCAAAUUGGCG